ACCACUAAAGAGAAAAUAAAUUUACUUACAUCUGAUAUGAUAGACUGUUAUAUCAUACCAUUUAUUUUCUCUUUAGUAGAAAAGUAAACAUGGUUAGAACAAUAAUAUAUAUCCGCACGAAUAUAUUUUAUAUUGAUCAUUUAGUUUUGUGUGUUUAAUUUUAUUUAAUAUUUUAUAUACAGUCCAGUCACUUGCAACAACAGUUAAAACAGCAGGAAACAGCCAAGUACAGAUGCAAGUGAUUGUUAUGAGGAUUGCAAAAGUUUUUAAUAACAGAAACUGAAGAAGACAUUGAUAAUCAACACAUAACUAAAAAGUGCAAAGGUGAGGAAGAAUUUUAUGCUAAUGUUAAUGUAAAAAGUAUGGAUAUUGACAGAUAAGCUAAUUUGAUGUUACAACAAACAUGAUAAUAAGUAUAUGAAGACGUUAGUGCUAAAAGUACUUGCAUGCAUCAUUUUUGCAUGCUAUAUUAUAAUAUAGCAUGCAUGCAUGAUGCAUGCAAGUACAAAAAAAAGGGGACAAAUAUUUAAUUAUACAAAAAGAUUAUGGAUGUGGUACCACAAGUAUAUACAAUUAUUUAUGCAAGUAAGUUGACCUAAUUUACAUCUUUGGAGAAUAAUAAUUGUAACGAAUAUAUCUCAAACAAUAUACACUCGGAUUUACAUUUUAGUUAAACCACUUCCACAGCCGUCUUGUCUCAAACAGUCAUUUGCAUUUUAAGAUAUCUUUAUUCAAAUUAAGUGUGACUACUAUACCAAAAGACUGUAAAAUGGACCAAUCAAUUCAAAAAUUGAGUUCUAAAAUACCAUUAUUCAGAUAGAGAGCUACUAUAUCAAAAGACAAUCUAAUGGAUUUGAUCAAGUAAUACUUAAUUUAAUGGAUUUGAUCAAGUAAUACUUAAUUUUUAGCUUAAGUUGCGUGUUAGUACAUAUAUGAUUUUAAUAUAUAAAUUUUAAUUACAAUGUUUAUUGAUUAGUUUUUAACUUUAAAAAUUUUAAGAACAACAAUUUUAUUUUCACAUGUUAAUUUAUAUUGUAGUCAAACUGUCAGUAUUUCUAAAACUUUUCAAUAGAAUAGAAAGUUUCAAUCAAAUAGGAUACUUAGUGUGCUUACUGCUCCUCAAGACAAUGGAUAAUGGGAGUCAACAAACUUUAUUUAUUUAUAUAUUUUAUUACUUAUAUAGUAAUAUUCAUCCAUUAUA